AACUUAGUGGCGUAGUGGUUUGAGAGCCGGACUACAACUGAGGAGGCCAGGGUUCGAAUCCCUACUCAGCUA